rnacentral:misc_RNA from 1 species
AAGUCGUAACAAGGUUUCCGUAGGUGAACCUGCGGAAGGAUCAUUAAUGAUUUUAGCUAACCUUGGCUAUUUUAGCCAAGGUUAUGCGAAAUUUUGUAUUUAAAACCCCACUCAUAUAAUAAAAAUUUUAUUAUAUUUAUGAUAAAAAUAAGAUCACUUUCAACAACGGAUCUCUUGGUUCUC